rnacentral:rRNA from 1 species
UUCGGCGCUCGAGUUGUAAUUUGAAGAUGGCGACUUUGGGGGUGGCCUUUAUCUAUGUUCCUUGGAACAGGACGUCACAGAGGGUGAGAAUCCCGUCUGAUGAGGUGACCCAUCCCUUUGUAAAGCGCUUUCGAAGAGUCGAGUUGUUUGGGAAUGCAGCUCUAAGUGGGUGGUAAAUUCCAUCUAAAGCUAAAUAUUGGCGAGAGACCGAUAGCGAACAAGUACAGUGAUGGAAAGAUGAAAAGAACUUUGAAAAGAGAGUGAAAAAGUACGUGAAAUUGUUGAAAGGGAAGGGUAUUAGAUCAGACUUGGUGUUGUGUGAUUAUCUUCCCCUCGUGGGUUGUGCACUCGCGCAUCGCUGGGCCAGCAUCGAUUGGGGUGGCGGGACAAGUGCGCAGGAACGUGGCUGCGUCUUCGGACGUAGUGUUAUAGCCUGCGCUUAUACCGCCCGUCUCGAUCGAGGACUGCGUCUUUUAUGACUAGGAUGCUGGCGUAAUGAUCUAAUAUCGCCCGUCUUGAAACACGGACCAAGGAGUCUAACGUCUAUGCGAGUGUUUGGGUGUAAAACCCAUACGCGGAAUGAAAGUGAACGUAGAUGGGAGCUCUCUCGGGGGCGCACCAUCGACCGAUCCUGAUGUCUUCGGAUGGAUUUGAGUAAGAGCAUAGCUGUUGGGACCCGAAAGAUGGUGAACUAUGCCUGAAU